GCAUCGAUGAAGAACGCAGCGAAACGCGAUAGGUAAUGUGAAUUGCAGAAUUCCGUGAAUCAUCGAAUCUUUGAACGCACCUUGCGCUCCAUGGCAUUCCGUGGAGCAUGCCUGUUUGAGUGCCGCGAAAUCUCCCACCCCUAGCGGUUGCCGCAAGGCGCCGCCGGGCGGCGGGGUUGGUUGGGUGCCGCUGCCUGGGCUUUGGCCCAGGCUCGCCCGAAAUGCAUGAGCGCUUAGCACUCGCACCGUCUCGAGGGAAGGCGGCGGAGCUGGCAUCUGCGCAUGGCAUGAUACGUCAUUUGCUGUGUGGCAGCCCAGCGACCCGAGAGUGUGUGUGCGCUACUACACGCCCUUUCAUUUCUGGUCUUAAAUCAGGUAGGAUCACCCGCUGAACUUAAGCAUAUCAAUAAGCGGAGGAA
rnacentral:rRNA from 1 species